GACGAACGCUGGCGGCGUGCUUAACACAUGCAAGUCGUACGGUAAGGCCCUUUCGGGGGUACACGAGUGGCGAACGGGUGAGUAACACGUGAGUAACCUGCCCACAACUUUGGGAUAACGCUAGGAAACUGGUGCUAAUACUGGAUAUGUGCUCCUGCUGCAUGGUGGGGGUUGGAAAGCUCCGGCGGUUGUGGAUGGACUCGCGGCCUAUCAGCUUGUUGGUGGGGUAGUGGCCUACCAAGGCGGCGACGGGUAGCCGGCCUGAGAGGGUGACCGGCCACAUUGGGACUGAGAUACGGCCCAGUCUCCGACGGGAGGCAGCAGUGGGGAAUAUUGCACAAUGGGCGCAAGCCUGAUGCAGCAACGCCGCGUGCGGGAUGACGGCCUUCGGGUUGUAAACCGCUUUCAGCGGGGACGAAGCUUUUUGUGACGGUACCUGCAGAAGAAGCACCGGCUAACUACGUG
rnacentral:rRNA from 1 species